AGCUAGCAUAGAUACAGUAAUAAUCCUAAUAAUGCAACUAAUACAAACUAGUGCAUAAUAAAAUAAUGAGUAAAUGAUCAAAGUGAAUUUGCCUUAAUAGUAGUUGGUAUUCAAACACUCUUCGCAAUCACACAGUUCGCACUCCGAGAAAACUAAACAAUAGAACAAUGCAUACAUAAACACACCAUACAAACAAAAAAAUACGUAUGCCAUGAUGCAAUGCAAAACAUGUGACAAGAGCUUAGUUUAUUUUAUUUGGGUGUUCUACUGAAGCGACCGCCCCUGUAAAAGGGUUCGAUCUCUGUGCUUUAGUGCUAGUCCCUGGAUCGACUCACUAGCACACACAGUUUCAAGAUGUAAUAUCAUAGAACAAUGGUCUCAAUAUUACAACGUAUCAUCCAGAAUAUAAAUGGGUACUUACAACUCGCAUAACCUCACGGGUUAGCUGGAAAUAAAGCAAUUGUUUAGCAGCGGAAAACGGAAGAUACAAGGGCGCAUCAACACCACGGUGAGAGCGUGUUGGAAUGUAAGCCCGUAACCCAAACAUGCAGAACGUACGUCUUACUCGUCGUCGGAGCUUCCUGCAUCAUCAAACGAUGCAGCCACUAGGGUCAAUACAUUGAUUGUAUUGGCAAGAUUCACUAGGAGUUAUACCAGAGCCUAUCAAAUAUAUGCAUAAUGUGGUAAAGUGGGGUUCAAGCUAUUUGCAUAAAAGCUUAGUUAUUGAAUCCUAUCUUUUAAUCAAAUAGAAUUUUAUCACUAUUGGACACGGGGUAGACACACCCAUGCUCCUAUUAUCCUAGAGCACAUUGAUGUGGAUUCACCAAGUGCCCCUACCCUGUUCAACCAUCAUUUUAUUUAAGAAGUUAGAAUGAGUGAGACUUUCCUUACAGCUCCACAUCUAGUCGCUCAAAUUGUCCGUUGCCGGGGACACGGCUAAGUACUUAGUUUUGACGCUCUCGAAUGUACACAUUCCCCACAAGAAACCGACGUGUUAAUCCCUUGCUGUCCUCAGGGUAGAGUAGCAACGGCAUCGAUUACGAGAUUUUCAGAGGUAAUUCCCUAAACCACGAGAGAAUCACGCUCCCCCUAUACGGCUACCUCAGUACAAUUCCUCAGGUCUAGGUUCAUACAACUUACUCUCUGGUCCUAAUGGAUAGAGAACAAGUUUAAAUAAUUUUAUAGCAAGCCAACAUGCUCAAAACUAUUUUGAAACACUUCAUUUGAAAUUUAAACCAUAUUCAACCAUUCUGUAAAUAGCUACUGUAUAAGUUAUUCAAAACUGAAAUUAAACAGUGCCAAAAUAUUCUACACGUUGUGACGAUUCCAGAAUGGUGCGGAACACAAUUUUUGGACAAACGGUUUGAAAGAUAUAAAGGUUUGAAGUUACAGGGGCUUUUCUGCAAAAGUGCCUUAUCCAAAACGGCCGAAUUAAAAUAAAAAAAAAAUAAAACCGAAUCUCGCCACGUGGCGAAACCUGACUGGCCCGGUUC
rnacentral:lncRNA from 1 species